UCUGCGCUUCCACUGCAGGGGGCGUGGGUUCGAUCUCUGGUUGGGGAAAUUCCGCGUGCUGCGAAGUGAGGCAAAAAAAAAAAAAAAAGAUAAAGGCGAUCUGGUCUUGAUUCAGAGGAGAGGAGCCCUCAAGACCAGCUCCACGCAAUAAAAAGUGAAUUCAAUGAGUGGCUCAGUUCUCACCGGCGAGGAGGGGCCCUACGGGUGGUGCUGCUGUGGACCCUUGCUGGGGUUCGGGAGCCUGUUAGAAAUGCAGAACGCCAACCAAAGACUCACUGGCCACCCUGGUGAUCCCAGGGCACCUUUGGGUUCCCAAGCCUGGGGCCGGAGGCCUCUUGGUGGUGGGGAGAUAUACCCAGGAAAUGUCUUUUUUUUAAAAAAAUACAUAUUUUAACAUUUUAAUUGUUAAAUGUAGCAUGCAGAAAAGAGCACAGAUUUGUCAUGGUCCUUUUUUUUAAUAUGUUUAUUUAAUGUUCUAAAUAAAGAAAGAUUAAACU